CCGGAGAGCAGGUGACGGCGGCCUCCGGGCAUGGAGCUCGCGCUGACGAAAGGUUCUGGAAGCCGCCGUAAAAAGUAAUCAAGAAACGGGUGACAGGACUUUUCGAACAAGGUCUCACCAUGCUGCCCAAGCUGGUCUGAAAACUCUUGUCCUCAGGCAGUCCUCCCACCUCGGCCUCCCAAAGAUCUGAGAUUACAGGCAUGAGCCACCACACCUGGCCUUGGUUUUAAUUCCUGUCACAGUAUAUUAGUUUUCGCUGUUGUGUAUUGAUUGAUUGAGACAGGGUCUCGCUCUGUUGCCCAGGCUGGAGUGCAGGGGCAUGAUCCCAGCUCACUGCAACCUCCACCUCUUGGAUUCAAGUGAUUCUCCCGUCUCAGCCUCCCGAGUAACAGGAACCACAGGUGUGUGCCAGCACGCCUGGCUAAUUUUUUUUUUUUUUUUCUUGAGGUGGAGUUUCACUGUUGUUGCCCAGGUUGGAGUGCAGUGGCACAAUCUCAGCUCACUGCAACCUCUGCCUCCUGGGUUCAAGUGAUUCUCCUGCUUCAGCCUCACGAGUUGUUGGGAUUACAGGCGCCCGCCACCACGCCCAGGUAAUUUUUGUUUAGUAGAGACGGGGUUUCACCAUGUUGGCCUGGCUGGUCUCGAACUCCUGACCUCAGGUGAUCCACCCACCUCGGCCUCCCAAAGUUGUGGGAUUGCAGGCGUGAGCCACUGCGCCUGGCCUAAUUUUUCAAUUUUUUGGUGGAGAUAGGGUUUCACCAUGUUGGCCAGGCUGGAGUUUUGCCUGUUCUAGAAGCUUGUAUCAGUCAUACAACACCCCUUUGAGGAACCGUUUGAGGUGUGGCACGAUACAGCAAGUCAGCUGCCAAAGAGGGGCUUAGCCACAGGAAGUGCGUGCCCAGAACGCAUCUCCCGUGUCCCUCACAGCAGUUCUAUGAGGCUGGCUGCCCUGUUUGACAACUGAGGCCCGCAUCUUCCCCGGAAUCACCGACGUGUGGCUCUGAGCCCUGUCCCAGGGAUUUUCUCCAUCAGAGAAGAGGAGCACUUUGAGCUUUGAGAGGAGCAGCCCUCUGCAAGUGAAGUGGAAAAAAAGGAAGCAGGCGAGGAGGCCCAUCCAGACCCUCCCCCAAGACCCUUGCUGAAAUGGCUGGGAUGCGGCGUGCAGAAGCUCUCCUUUCCUUCACAGCCCCUGGCUUUCCAAGAGUCCCUGCCCACCCAGAUGCCCGCUGGCAGAUGCAGCCUCAUCUCAAGGACACUGCUUGCUGGAUAAAUCCCUCACCACCCUAGAGACAGCCCACGGUCCUGAGACAAGGAUGCGGGCCAGGCUUGUUGCACGUAAGCGCCUCCCGCAGAAACCAGUGAGGCCGGAGUUCCAGAGGAAAUGAUGUAGGGACAGAGGCAGAGGGCCUCCAGGAGGCACCAGCCCCAGAGUCUUCCCUAGAAUCAGACUUUAAGCACAAGCAGGGAGGGAAAGCACUUGAGCAGUGCCCGUCCCUGCAUACCUGGCCUCUGCUGGAACCCAUGCAGGGACAGGACACUUCUUUAUCAGCAAUCCUGUUCCUCUCCUGGGCAGCUUCAACCUGAACAUCCUCCUUCACCUUGAGCUAAAAUGGGUUUCUUGUCACCCUUGCCCAUCAAACCUGGCCUUGCCCUCAGGAACCACACAGGACAAGCCUAAUACUUCCUUCUUGUGGCAACACUUUAGCAAUUGAGACCUGGCUGUCAGGUCCUCCAAAUAAACAUUUGUGACUGUGAUGUUGACUUGCCGCUUCUGGGGACCUCUUCUCAUUUGAUCGGAGAAAGUUUUUCAGGGUUAAACCUACUUCUUUCCCCCAAGAAACUCUUCUUGUCAGGCUCACGCCUAUAAUCCUGGCACUUUGGGAGGCCAAGGCAGGAGGAUUGUUUGAGACCAGCCUGGGCAACGUAGGUAGACUAUGUUGCUACAAAAAGAAAAAGAAAAAAUGGCCAGGUGUAGUAGUCCCAGCUGCUUGGAGGCUGAGGUAGGAGGUUUGCUUGAGCCCAGGAGGUCGAGGCUGCAGUGAGCUAUGAUUGUGCCACUGCACUCUAGCCUGGGAGACAGAAUGAGGCCCUGUCUCAAAAAAAAAAAAAAAAAAAAAAAGAUGAUGAAACUCCUCACGUAUUUCUCCCCGGAGCAUGUGCUCCCAGGCUCAAAUCCACAGCAGCCUCGUUACACACACGUCAUCCCCUGGCCCCGAGAUAUUGCACCGCCUUCCCCUUUCUAGCUCUGAACCCCCACAUGAAGCAGCCAGACGUAGGAAAACCCAGAUUCAUAAAGCGCUGAUAUGGGUGGUCCUUUACCAAAGGAUUUUCUGCUUUACAAAGUAAUUCACCAAAUGAUUUCCCUAGAGUAUGGGCAGAGAUUUGCAAACUACAGCUUGGAACCAAGCUGCCUUUUUUUUAUAAUAAA
rnacentral:lncRNA from 1 species